UGCCGGGGUGGUGGAAUGGUAGACACCGGAGACUUAAAAUCUCCUCCCCGCAAGGGGGUACGGGUUCAAAUCCCGUUCCCGGCAG
rnacentral:tRNA from 1 species